CCUACGGGAGGCAGCAGUGGGGAAUAUUGGUCAAUGGGCGCGAGCCUGAACCAGCCAAGUCGCGUGAAGGAUGACUGCCCUACGGGUUGUAAACUUCUUUUAUAAAGGAAUAAAGUGAGGCACGUGUGCCUUUUUGUAUGUAUUUUAUGAAUAAGGAUCGGCUAACUCCGUGCCAGCAGCCGCGGUAAUACGGGGGAUCCGAGCGUUAUCCGGAUUUAUUGGGUUUAAAGGGUGCGUAGAUGGGUUGUUAAGUCAGUUGUGAAAGGUUGCGGCUCAACCGUGAAAUUGCAAUUGAUACUGGCAGUCUUGAGUACAGUUGAGGUAGGCGGAAUGCGUGGUGUAGCGGUGAAAUGCUUAGAUAUCACGAAGAACUCCGAUUGCGAAGGCAGCUUACUAAACUGCCACUGACAUUGAUGCUCGAAAGUGUGGGUAUCAAACAGGAUUAGAUACCCCUGUAGUC
rnacentral:rRNA from 1 species